rnacentral:rRNA from 1 species
UACGAAGGGGGCUAGCGUUGUUCGGAAUUACUGGGCGUAAAGCGCACGUGGGCGGACUGAUAAGUCAGGGGUGAAUCCCGGGGCUCAACCCCGGAACUGCCUUUGAUACUGUCAGCCUAGAGUUCGAGAGAGGUGAGUGGAAUUCCGGGUGUAGGGGUGAAAUUCGUAGAUAUUCGGAGGAACACCAGUGGCGAAGGCGGCUCACUGGCUCGAUACUGACGCUGAGGUGCGAAAGCGUGGGGAGCAAACAGG